rnacentral:rRNA from 1 species
ACUCAAAUGAAUUGACGGGGGCCCGCACAAGCAGCGGAGCGUGUGGUUUAAUUCGACGCAACGCGAAGAACCUUACCCAGGCUUGACAUGCAUGUGGUACUGACCCGAAAGGGAAGGGACCCGCAAGGGAGCAUGCACAGGUGCUGCAUGGCUGUCGUCAGCUCGUGCCGUGAGGUGUUGGGUUAAGUCCCGCAACGAGCGCAACCCUUGCUGCCAGUUACCAUUUCUGGCGGGACCGCCGGGUCUAACCCGGAGGAAGGUGGGGAUGACGUCAAGUCAGCACGGCCCUUACGUCUGGGGCUACACACACGCUACAAUGGCCGGUACAAUGGGCUGCCAAGGGGCGACCCGGAGCGAAUCCCAUCAAAGCCGGUCUCAGUUGGGAUUGGGGGCUGCAACUCGCCCCCAUGAACGAGGAGUUGCUAGUAACCGCAGGUCAGCACACUGCGGUGAAUACGUUCCCGGGCCUUGUACACACCGCCCGU